rnacentral:rRNA from 1 species
ACCGAAGCUAUGGACUUGAAAAAGUGGUAGGGGAGCAUUGUAGUGUCGUCGAAGGUGUACUGCGAGGUAUGCUGGAGAAGCUACAAAAGAAAAUGUAGGCAUAAGUAACGAUAAUGCGGGCGAGAAACCCGCACACCGAAAGACUAAGGUUUCCUCAGCGAUGCUAAUCAGCUGAGGGUUAGUCGGGACCUAACGCGAACCCGAAAGGGGUAGUGGAUGGACAACGGGUUAAUAUUCCCGUACCGUUUUUUAUUGAUAUCGAGGGACGGAGAAGGCUAAGCUAGCCGGAUAUUGGUUUUACCGGUUUAAACGUUCGAGAUGUUGAGAAGCGGAGAAAACGCUUUGAGUUGAGACGUGAAUACGAGACGCUAAGGCGUCGAAGUAGUGUAUGUCAUACUUCCAAGAAAAGCUUGCACUGUCAUAAAUAAAAAAUGCCUGUACCAUAACCGACACAGGUGGGUAGGUAGAGUAUACUAAGGGGCGCGAGAUAACUCUCUUUAAGGAACUCGG